ACUAUUCUGAACCACUCUGCAAUGAAAAUCUGUGACUAGAGUUUACAAAUGCCCAUGAUUCAUUACCUAGGACAAAUAGUAUUUUCCAGCUCAUUUAUAAUUUUCUCUUUGGCCCCAGAGUUAUUUGGGAGAUAAUUGCUUAGUUUGGUUUGUUGUGUUUUGUUUUAUUUAGAAAUCUUGUUUUCUUUAGUAUACUUUUUAUUCAAGAUUUAGAUACUUACAAAAACAUAUCAAAUCGUACGGAUGAGCUCGCUGAGUUUUUACCAAGGAAACCCAGCCGUGUAACUGGAGCUGAGCUGUAAGAACAGAACACUGCCACCUUGUCAGGGACCCGUUUGCCUCGUUCCAGGCAUGCCCUGCUCGCCGUGUCGUGACCUCCCACACCAGGGAUUAGUUAGGGCUGUUUCUGAGUUUUCUAUAAAGGGAACCCUAAAACGUAUGAUUGUGUGUCUGUGAGAUGCACUCAUGUGACUGUAUGAGGUGGCGUGUGUCCACUUUCCCUGCUGCAAAGUUCUGGGGCAGGAAAAAUCACUCUCAUGUGUUGAUGCUUCUGCUAUGGAUGAACAGGUAGUACCAUCCCCAAUAGCACUGCCGUGAGCGUUCGAAUCAUGACCUUCCAUCAGUAAUAUCCUGGCGAGCCUGGACCCAGGGCCCUUCAGAAAAAAAGCUCUGGCAAGUGUCUGCCGAUGGCCACGGUGUAAAUCCUCCCAGCAGGCCUGACUUCCGGCUGCCGCCAGGACGUCACUGAGACCGGAGCUGGGAAGAGAUAUAAGCUGUGGGGUCUUGCCAGUUCCAGGGCACCGCUGCUCCAGGCGCUCAGGCGGGCAUGUCUCUGGGUGCGUGCGUGCACCUAGCGGUAAAGACGCCGGUUACGGGGCAGCCGUGCUUCAGCUCUGGGACUAACAGAUCCUGACAUGUCCCAAGGGGGUGACGUGCAAAUAUAUUCUGGACUUCGUGGCCGUGGUGCCAGAGGGUUAUGAAUCAGAGGUCAAACUGCAGAGGUGCCGGUUUGAUCCCUGGCCCAGCGCAGCGGGUUAAAGGAACAUGCACAGGCAAGGGAUUGACCCCACCUCCUCACUGAGCCACAGUGGGAACUCCUUAUCUUUAUUUAUUUAUUUGCUUUUUUAUGGCCACUCCUGUGGCAUAUGGAAGUUCCUGGGCCAGAGACUGAAUCCUGUGGCCACAAGUGCUCCCUACGCCAGAGCUGUGGCAAUGCCAGAGCUUUUAAAGAAAGAAAGAAAGAUGAAAGAAAGAAGAAAAGAAAGAAAGAAAGAAAGAAAGAAAGAAAGAAAGAAAGAAAGAAAGAAAGAUGAAAGAAAGAAGAAAAGAAAGAAAGAAAGGAAGAUAAAUACAUUCUUUGGGAUUUUUUUUCAUUAGCUGUGUCUGAUUUUUCAAUAUUAUGGUCAAAAUAUGCCUGCAUUAUUUCGGGGGUAUUUACUGAGGUGAUACGGUUAUUUACGGCUCUUUGGGGGGGUACCUGUUCCCUGGCCAUUUCACAGAAGAGAAAGUAUAUUUCCGACUUUGCCAUUCCUGCCCCCAUCCACAGGACCAAGUCUGGAUGGUGAGUUAUUUUAUGCUUCUAUAGGUGUACUUUUGUUUCUGGAUCUGUGAAUAAAACCCAGAAGAUGACACUAAUCUCAUGGCCCACUGAAAUGUACAUCAUGGAGCUGAAGCAACCAGCCCGAGGCCAGAGGUGGAGACAGUCUACACCUGCCACCUUAGCCCCAGGCCUCUGAGGCUAACAGGACCCCAGGGCACAUGGCGAGGAUUAGACAUGGCAAUGAACUCUGAGACUCUCAGGCUGACAUGGGGAAAGGGUGUCUAGUGAGCACUGGCCGCUCGUUCUCAUCUUUCAGGUGAUGCUCGAAGGAGCUGGAUGAAUGUAGCAUGGAUGGAUGCAUGGAUGCAUGGAUGCAUGGAUGAACGCAUGCCAAAAAUGAACCCAAAGGCCCCCACUCUGCAUCAAUGUUCCGUCCUCCUGUGGAAAGGACACUUGGGUUUGCAGACGAGACAUAUUGGCUUCAUGAGCCUCUGGGAACUCUGCGGAGGUGGCGUCCCCCGGGGGCAGCUGGACCCGCCCCCUCGCCCUCCUGCUGAGGUGACUGAGGCUUUAUCCAGCAGCCGUGGCCGCCAGCCCAGCCCAGCCUGUCCUGCCCUGCGGACCUGGCCCUCUGGGCUCCGGAGCGAAAGAACAAUGGUGGCCUUGUUGCCACUUCCCCGUCCCCUCCACGGUCCCAGUUACUCAUCAAGGAUGUUGGCCAGCCCAGCCCCGGAACACAGCGUGCUUGUCCCUUGAUUAAGCAGCAGCCACGCUCAGACAGUGGCCCUGCAGGAGGUGGCCGAUGAGUUCAUCUCUUGGCCAUUCAGACGACCCAACCGCCAUGGACUUGGGCAGGAGAUGGGUCAAUGGGAGGGCAGGCUGGGUGGGCCCCUCCAGAGGCCACCCCCGAAGGAGAACAGCAUCCUCUCCCCAGGGGGGCCCAGGCAUGUCGGAUGGGAAGGGGCGGGUCUGUGGCCUCCUUGUGCAAAGAUGGGUCCCAGAGGGAGGACUGACCAGCGGCCACCUCGUAGGGCUGGUUAUAUCCGCAACUGAGACGGGGCUUCUUUAAAACAACUACCUUGCAGGAAGAAAAAAAAAAAGAAAGAAAUCAAAGCUUUGUCACCCUCCUGCUCAAUCCCAGAGUGCAUCCCUCUGCACUUAGAAUAAAAUCACAAGAUUUCCAUGAUCUGACCCCAAAUCUUCUCUCUCCUCCUGGGCUCUGGGUGUUGUACACACUGGCCUGAUUUCUGGCCAUGAGACCCAGUGGCCCGCGCUCUCUCAGGCCUUUCCUUCUGCCUGGACGGGCCUCCUCUCCACCUCCAACCCGCUCUCGGAGUGGCUGGUUCCUGGUGGGGAGGCAGUGGUACCCCAUGCCCCCAUCCCCCAGGCUCAUGGAACGGAACAGUACCUGCCCGCGGGAGGAGCUAAGAGAUGCUCCCCAAAUGGGGGGGUGCCUCAGGAGCCAGCACAAGGCCUGGCACAGCGGUGCUCAGGAAUGAGGGAGGGAGGGGAGAUGGAGAGAAACCAUGGUGUGACUUGAGACAGAAAGGGAGGUGACAUAGAAAGGGCCCUCAUAGGGUCCCCUUUGAGCCAAGGUCCUACUCACCCACCCAAAGCAUUCCACCUUGCUGAGCCGGGGCACUGCACCCCAGGACAGCAGGUGUCAGGGACCCCUUUCCUAACCCAUGUUAACCUCUGCCCUGCUUCAGGGCUGGCUUUGUCCCAUGAGGGUCACCCAUUUAGGUCAAGAUAACCCACAACUGCAAACCCGCUGGAAAAUCCUCAACAACCCUUUCUAGGGUCGGCAGCGCUCCAAGCACUGGGGGAAAGGGUUGCUGGGUGAGUACAUGACCCGCCUUCAGGGAGCCCCCAGGCCUUGGAGCUGGGCAGGCAGAAAGAGCCAGAUGCCUGGGAUUGACUGUGGAGCCAACCUCACUUGUGCUGCCCACUGGCCCUUUAGACGCUUCACUGGGACAGAGCGUUGCCACCAACUGGAGAAGAAUUCAGGCAAAUGACAAUGACUCUACCAGACCCUCCAACCUGGAAGCAACCUACGUGUCCGUCAACAGAGGAGUGGAGGAGGAAGAUGUGUUCCAUACAUACAAUGGAAUAUUACUCAGCCAUGAAAAAAGAAGGCAAAAUGCCAUUUACAGCAACAUGGAUGGACCUAGAAAUGAUCAUACUAAGUGAAGUCAGACAGAGAAAGACAAAUGUCAUAUGAUAUCACUUAUGUGUGGAGUCCCAAAAAUGAUACAAAUGAACUUAUUUACAAAACAGAAACAGAGUCAUAGCCUGCGAAAACAAACGGAUGGGUUACCAAAGGUGAAGGUGAAGGAGAGGGACGGGCUGGGGGUGUGGGGUGGGUACACCAUUUUAUGUGGAGUGGACAGUCCACAGGGACCUGCUGCAGAGCACAGGGAACUCUGCUCCGGACUCUGCGAUCGUCUACACAGGAAAAGGAUCUGAGAGGGCGUGGAUGCGUAUACACGUGUCACUGAAUUGCUUUGUCGCACAGCAGAAAUGAGCACAACCUUGCGUAUCAGCUAUAUGUCAAGGAGACUUUAAAAAAUGAGAAGGACUUCCUGUCGUGGCUCAGGGGUUAACGAACCUGACUGGCAUCCAUGAGGACGCGGGUUCGAUCCCUGGCCUCGCUCAGUGGGUUAAGGAUCCAGCGUUGCCAUGAGCUGUGGUGUAGGUUGCAGACGCGGCUCGGAUCCUGCAUGGCUGUGGCUCUGGUGUAGGUUGGUGGCCACAGCUCCGAUUGGACCCCUAGCCUGGGAACCUCCAUAUGCUGCAGGUGCAGCCCUAAAAAGACAGGGGAAAAAAAGACAAAAAAAAAACAUAUGAACCCUCUUCCCAACAGGCCUGAGGCUAGGGAGCUGCCCGCAGCAGGGGAUCCCUCAACCAGGUCCAGGGGCAAAGCUGGGGGCCGGUGGGGGGAGAGUGGGUGAGGUGGACAGCCCUGCCCUGCCUGGGUCUGCAGAGGCUCCCCCGUGGAUCGGAACUCCUGGGGUGGGGGGUGGCUCUGGCUCUGGGUGCACCCAAGGGCCAGUAUCUUGGGGAGGAGGCCUUUUCCCCUAAGAGGGUCCCCAGAAUCCUGGUGCCCAAGAUGCAGGCAGCACGGACCUCUCAGAUGGGACCAACCCAGGCCAACUUUGCCCCAGAGGCUCAAGUCCCCUGAGCGCUCCAAGGGCAGGACACAUGCACAGAGCCUCAGGGGUCCCGUGAAGCCUCCAUGUGUGGUAAGUGAGGGCCUCCCCUCCUCUUCCUUCCUCAGAGAGGGCACAGCCCGUGCCCCUGCGACGCACGAAACCCUUGCCCCACCUGCACGGGCUCAGGACACUGGCUCCCGUGCCUGGGGCCAGAUGCUCCCCUCUGGGAGCCUGUUUCUUCAUCUGGACCACAGAACUGGGACCCCCUCUCCAGGCCCCGGGGGCGGGGGGGUGAGAGUCCGUGGGAGAGCUUGGGUGAGCCCUGGAGUUAUUAUGGGAUGGGUGGUCUCGCAGCGAAGCGGAGGUGGAGGAAACGCUUCCAAACCUCCCCGAGCCCCAGCCUGGGCCCAGCUAAGCGCUGGCUCCGGGCCUGCAUCUCUGCCGACUUUGAACUCACUGUGUUCCCAGCCUGAUCCGCGGCCGCAGAGCCCUGGCCAGGAACCGGGUUCAAGUCCAUUGAAGUCCUUCCAGGGCUGGGCUGGACUCUUUCCUGCUGUGUCCGGCCCACUGUUUCAACAGGAAACAAAGCGUCCCCUUCAGAACGGGCGUCAGUGCACAUUUCGUGGUCACAGAGCCACAGGCAUCUUGCUGCAGAUCAGAACGUCUCCACAGACAUCCCAGGGGCUGGAGGCAGGGCAGGUGCCCAGCAGUCAAGACAGGGCCAUCCCAGAGCCCAGCUGGGCACUGGGGCGAGGCUGCCACAGUCUCUUCCCUCCAAGACAUGGCUGGAUCUGAAUUCCUGGCUGCAGCCCCUGGCCUGGAGGGUGGGCUAUGCCACGGUGAAGGCCUUCCCUGGAGAGC
rnacentral:lncRNA from 1 species